AUGAAACUCGUCGGUUGGAACCGCCGGGGACUCGGGAACGGCCCGGCUGUUCAGGGCCUCCUCGAUCUGGGGAGGGCGGAGUAUCCCGAUGUUCUUUUUCUAGCUGAAACAAAGAUGACAGUGAGCGAGCUAGAGAAAUUCAGGUGGAGUUUGGGGCUGACUAAUAUGACAGCAUGGAGCUCAGAGGGUCGUAGUAGGGGAGUAGCUUUGUUCUAG
rnacentral:rRNA from 1 species